rnacentral:rRNA from 1 species
GAGUUUGAUCCUGGCUCAGAUUGAACGCUGGCGGCAGGCCUAACACAUGCAAGUCGAACGGUAACAUUUCUAGCUUGCUAGAAGAUGACGAGUGGCGGACGGGUGAGUAAUGCUUGGGAACUUGCCUUUGCGAGGGGGAUAACAGUUGGAAACGACUGCUAAUACCGCAUAAUGUCUUCGGACCAAACGGGGCUUUUAGCUCCGGCGCAAAGAGAGGCCCAAGUGAGAUUAGCUAGUUGGUAAGGUAACGGCUUACCAAGGCGACGAUCUCUAGCUGUCCUGAGAGGAAGAUCAGCCACACUGGGACUGAGACACGGCCCAGACUCCUACGGGAGGCAGCAGUGGGGAAUAUUGCACAAUGGGGGAAACCCUGAUGCAGCCAUGCCGCGUGUGUGAAGAAGGCCUUCGGGUUGUAAAGCACUUUCAGUUGUGAGGAAAAGUUAGUAGUUAAUACCUGCUAGCCGUGACGUUAACAACAGAAGAAGCACCGGCUAACUCCGUGCCAGCAGCCGCGGUAAUACGGAGGGUGCGAGCGUUAAUCGGAAUUACUGGGCGUAAAGCGCACGCAGGCGGUUUGUUAAGCUAGAUGUGAAAGCCCCGGGCUCAACCUGGGAUGGUCAUUUAGAACUGGCAGACUAGAGUCUUGGAGGGGGGAGUGGAAUUCCAGGUGUAGCGGUGAAAUGCGUAGAUAUCUGGAGGAACAUCAGUGGCGAAGGCGACUCCCUGGCCAAAGACUGACGCUCAUGUGCGAAAGUGUGGGUAGCGAACAGGAUUAGAUACCCUGGUAGUCCACACCGUAAACGCUGUCUACUAGCUGUGUGUGCCUUUAAGGCGUGCGUAGCGAAGCUAACGCGCUAAGUAGACCGCCUGGGGAGUACGGCCGCAAGGUUAAAACUCAAAUGAAUUGACGGGGGCCCGCACAAGCGGUGGAGCAUGUGGUUUAAUUCGAUGCAACGCGAGGAACCUUACCUACACUUGACAUGCUGAGAAGUUACUAGAGAUAGUUUCGUGCCUUCGGGAACUCAGACACAGGUGCUGCAUGGCUGUCGUCAGCUCGUGUCGUGAGAUGUUGGGUUAAGUC